UAAGCUCAAUUAACUGUUUGCA
rnacentral:miRNA from 1 species